CAACCUCAACUCAUAUGGGACUACCCCCUGAAUUUAAGCAUAUUAAUUAGGGGAGGAAAAGAAACUAACAAGGAUUUUCUUAGUAGAGGCGAGCGAAAAGAAAUCAGUUCAGCACUAAGUCACUUUGUCUAUAUGGCAAAUGUGAGAUGCAGUGUACGGAACAUCAACAUUCUAGUAUGAGAAGUUAACGAUUUAAGUCCUUCUUAAAUGAGGCCAUUUACCCAUAGAGGGUGCCAGGCCCGUAUAACGUUAAUGAUUACUAGAUGGUGUUUCCAAAGAGUCGUGUUGCUUGAUAGUGCAGCACUAAGUGGGUGGUAAACUCCAUCUAAAACUAAAUAUAACCAUGAGACCGAUAGUAAACAAGUACCGUGAGGGAAAGUUGAAAAGAACUCUGAAUAGAGAGUUAAAUAGUACGUGAAACUGCUUAAAGGUUAAGCCCGAUGAACCUGAAUAUCCGUUAUGGAAAAUUCAUCAUUAGAAUUGUAAUAUUUUAAACAAUAUUAUAAUAAUAGUGUGCAUUUUUUCCAUAUAAGUGCAUUGUAAUCUAUUAGCAUAAAUAUUUAUCAUAAAAUUAUGUCUGAUUGCUUAUUUGAAUUAUAUGCUUGGCAUUUUAACAUAAAAUAAAAGAUAUAAAUUUGAUAAAGUGCUGAUAGAUUUAUAUGAUUACAGUGCGUUAAUUUUUCGGAAUUAUAUAAUGGCAUAAUUAUAAUUGAUAUUUGUGUUUAUUAUAUGCAUUUGUAUGAUUAACAAUGCGAAAGAUUCAGGAUACCUUCGGGACCCGACUUGAAACACAGACCAAGGAGUCUAACAUAUGUGCAAGUUAUUGGGAUAUAAACCUAAUAGCGUAAUUAACUUGACUAUUAAUGGGAUUAGUUUUUUAACUAUUUAUAGUUAAUUAACGCAAUCCCGGGGCGCUCUAUAUAGUUAUGUAUAAUAAUAUUUAUAUUAUUUAUGCCUCUAACUGGAACGUACCUUGAGCAUAUAUGCUGUGACCCGAAAGAUGGUGAACUAUACUUGAUCAGGUUGAAGUCAGGGGAAACCCUGAUGGAAGACCGAAACAGUUCUGACGUGCAAAUCGAUUGUCAGAAUUGAGUAUAGGGGCGAAAGACCAAUCGAACCAUCUAGUAGCUGGUUCCUUCCGAAGUUUCCCUCAUGAUAGCUGGUGCAUUUAACUGUUGUAUAAAAUAAUCUUAUCUGGUAAAGCGAAUGAUUAGAGGCCUUGGGUCGAAACGAUCUUAACCUAUUCUCAAACUUUAAAUGGGUAAGAACCUUAACUUUCUUGAUAUGAAGUUUAAGGUUAUGAUAUAAUGUGCCCAGUGGGCCACUUUUGGUAAGCAGAACUGGCGCUGUGGGAUGAACCAAACGUAAUGUUACGGUGCCCAAAUUAACAACUCAUACA
rnacentral:ncRNA from 1 species